AGUAAACGAAGACGUUUUGCUCUGGCCCUGAAAAGUGGAAAAGCGGAGAGACCUGCAAAAGAUGUUUCCAAACAAAUUUGGCAGAGGCCAAUCUGCGGUGCAGCCUUCCCGCCAGCUUACCAGCGGUCCGACGCCCAUGGACUCGCAGAAGGCAGACGAUGUGAAUGGAGAGUGGCCUGACGAAGAAUUUGACAACAGCGAUGAGGAAUAUGGAAAGCAAGGCAAGGAGGAGGACGACGACGACGA